UGGCAGGGACUCCACAUAAUCAUGGAUUGUAAAGGGAAAGCCAGCCAUGUCGCGAACACUGAUGCCUCGCUCCCGGACAAGCUAAAACACCUGUUCUCCUUCAAGAAAAACAACACGUGGACCCCAGCCGCUCAUGACGACCCGAUCUCUGUGGCCCACGAAUCUUCUAUCAUGGAUGGAAGGAUGGAACAAAGGGAAGAAGUACAGAAGUUAUUCAUCCUGCUGACAAAAUUGAUGAUAAAUUCAUUAAUGUCCCACUUCAAUAUAAAGGCACAGAGGACAAAACAUGCCAUUGCUACCAUUCCUCCAUUCCAUUGAAGUUGAUCUGACCCAUCACACCACUCUUCAAGAGGGCCACUAUGCUUCAGAUCGCCUUCUGUGCUCUGAGGUCCAGGAUGAGGAUCUACUCAUUCUAAUUAGUACAACAAAACAAUUGGCUUUAUAUAGUCUCGUUAUUGUUAUUUUAUUGUGAUAUUACUUGACUGUAUUUUGUAAAUAUUUUCUUAAAACUGCA
ensembl:lncRNA